rnacentral:rRNA from 1 species
UACGAACGCUGGCGGCGUGUUUAAGACAUGCAAGUCGCACGGGGCAGGUUGAGUAGCAAUACGAGAUCUGUUCAGUGGCGCACGGGUGAGUAACACGUGAAUUACAUGCCCCUUCAGUGGGGAAUAGCCCAGGGAAACUUGGAUUAAUACCCCAUGGUCUCGCAAGAGUAAAGGUGGCCGCAAAGGCUGUCGCUGAAGGAUUGGUUCGCGCCCUAUCAGCUUGUUGGGUGAGGUAACGGCUCACCAAGGCUACGACGGGUACCUGGUCUGAGAGGACGAUCAGGCACACUGGAACUGAGACACGGUCCAGACACCUACGGGUGGCAGCAGUCGAGAAUAAUUCACAAUGGGGCAACCCUGAUGGUGCAACGCCGCGUGGAGGAUGACGGUCUUCGGAUUGUAAACUCCUGUCAAUCUGGGAGUAAGACCUGGCCGUUAAUAGCGGACAGGGUUGAUAGUACCAGAAGAGGAAGGGACGGCUAACUUCGUGCCAGCAGCCGCGGUAAUC